rnacentral:misc_RNA from 1 species
GAUGAAGAACGUAGUGAAAUGCGAUACUUGGUGUGAAUUGCAGAAUCCCGUGAACCCUCGAGUCUUUGAACGCAAGUUGCGCCCGAAGCCAUUAGGCCGAGGGCACGCCUGCCUGGGCGUCACACGUCGUUGCCCCCCCAUCUACUCCUUCGGGAUUGCGGGGGGCGGAUGAUGGCCUCUCGUGCGCCUCGUCGCGCGGUUGGCCUAAAUGCCAAGUCCUCGGCGACGCACGCCACGACAAUCGGUGGUUGCGAAACCUCGGUUGCCUGUCGUGUGCGGUCGUCGCGCAUCGAGGGCUCGAAAAAAUUGCCGGGCUUCGGCUCGACUUUCAACGCGACCCCAGGUCAGGCGGGGUUACCCGCUGAAUUUAAGCAUAUCAAUAAGCGGAGGA